rnacentral:rRNA from 1 species
GUCUGCAACUCGACUACAUGAAGCUGGAAUCGCUAGUAAUCGCGAAUCAGAAUGUCGCGGUGAAUACGUUCCCGGGUCUUGUACACACCGCCCGUCACACCAUGGGAGUCAGCAACGCCCGAAGCCGGUGACCCAACCGAAAGGAGGGAGCCGUCGAAGGUGGGGCCGAUAACUGGGGUGAAGUCGUAACAAGGUAUC